AUAGGCAUAUACCUCUUGGUCAUGGCUGCAAAUGAACGUUAAAGCUUCAAGAGCAUAGUCAUUUGUCCAAUUCGAGAUGGUCUGUAGCAAGCAAGGAGGUCUAAAAAGUUCAAAUCAGUUUUCCGUCGGACCAUCACUGGUGUUGUAGUUGAUACUUGUUGCAUAGAUAGAUAGCAUUCGCGGCAUCGAGGUUUCAGUCAGACAUACUUAUUACAUGCUAGUUGUUAGCAUGGAUUAAUCACUUGCACUUGAAGCACUGUGCUUGCGUGAUGUAAAGAGGAAUAUUGAGAAGAACAGUAAAGAGAAGCACCAAGCAAAGGUUAAAGGUGAUUCUGCAUGGUGUUGCGUUUCUUUGUUAUAACCUAUAAUAUGGAUGUCAAACAGGGAUUGAUUGGUGGAAGUUCCAUAACAGAGUCACUAAUAUCAUCAGAGUAUGUUUAGAAAGGCUGAAAACAAGCAGUUGAAAACAAGCAGUUGAAAACAAGCAAUAAUCAGGCUGUUAGGAGAUUGGAAAAGAAAGGGGGAAUUUUCUGUUCCUUCUUAGGGUUUCUGUGUGCUUGGGAUGGAAAUACCCGAUCAAAUUUCCUGGCUAUGCAAAUUUGGAAAACCAAGGUUCCUCCGCAUAAAGCUUUUUUGCUUGGGAGGCAUGUUGGGAGAAGAUCUUAACUAUUGAUAAACUCAGAGUUAGAGGACAGAUUUUGGUUAAUGGAUGCUACGGUUGUCUUCAGGCGGAGGAGACGUGUAAUCACUUAUUGUUGUGGUGUCUUAUAGCCUACAAUCUUUGGUGUAUGGUGUAUGAUCUUUUGAGGAUUGAAUGAGUGAUGGCUGGAUUGGUUGGUAUGGAAAUUUGGGCUUGGGAUGGUUUAUAUGUAAAAGGUAAUAUUGCUAACUUAAUUCCAUUGACUGUUUUUUGGGUUCUUUGGAAAGAAAAAAAUUCUAGAGUUUUUGAUGGUGUCGAGAGUAGUGUGUACAAAAUAAGAGAUAGGUAAAUUACUUAUAUUUUAGAUCUAUUUUGUUAAGUAAUGAUAUUAUUAGUGAUGAGAAUUUUGGGAACGUUAUAGAUAUUUUAACACUAUUGUAAAUUUUUUAUACAUGGGUGGUACUUCCUUUUUGUUACCAGGCUAAUGUAUUCUACAUACUUUUUACUUCAAAAAAAAGGCAAAAGAAUGAUGGUUUUAUGAUGUUUAAUUUAAAAUAUGCUGUUCAAGAUCCAACAGGAACGGAAUGUUCAUUAAUCAUCUGUAUGUAAUUGUUGUGAAAUAUGGGUCAUUAUCGAUAUUUAUUUGUCGAUGGAUCUUACAAAACCUAAAGCAAAUAUUUAAGGAGAUGAGAAGCAUAAGAAUGAUUACCAUACUGGUGAUUAAGAAGAUUUUUGUGCUAUAUUUAUUAAUAAGAUUGAUGUUCUGACCUAUAGGAUUAGGUGCAGCACCAAUCAUGCAAGUGCUGUAAUCAGACUCCCACUGAUAUGCAUGCUGAUAAUUUUAUCUGGCUUGCAAUUCAAAAUUGUCUUGAUCCACUUUGGUUCUUGAAUUAGGUUUGAGAUGGAAGAACUGAACUUAAAGGAAAGAACUGAGCUACAGUGGGACUUAGAGUGAACAGGGAGAAUGUUACUUGUUUUGUUGGGGAUAAACUAGGAGUAGAAUAGGACCCAGAAGUUCUAGAAUUUGGAGUGCAAAAGAGAAGAUGUUGAGAUGGCAGAACCGAAUGUAAGGGAAAGAAAUUGAGCUAUAGUGGGGCUUUAGAGUGAAUAGGGAGAAUGCUAUUUGUUUCGCUGAGAUAUACUAGGAGUAGAAAUUGGACUCCAGGAGUUCUAAAAUUUAGAGAUCAAAAGAGAAGAUGUUGGACUACAAUGGCUUUUGGGUUGCUGACAAUUUUGAGAUUGAAAGAAAGAUCAGUUACAGAGGGAAAGACUAAAGUACAAUGACUUGAAGGCUGAAGAGUGAAGGGUCAUAAACUUGAAUAUUGGCCUUAUUAGAGACCCAUGAGUGACACCCACGAAUAGGAUUCAUUCAAGUCUGUCAACAUGACGGGUUUAGCUCUUCAGACAUGUUCAACUUACUCAGAUUGAACUUACCUAGAUUGGCUCAAACCUUCCAUAUAGGUUCAUGAUCAGUUCAGAUCAGUGUGAAAGGGUUUUGAUUGUCUCUCUUUGUUUCCACGGUCCAUUUUAUUAAAUUAACCAUCUACUACCUUUUGGAAGCAGUUUGAAGAUGGAGCUUAAUGCUAAUUUGCAUUCAAAGUUUGACACUCUCCAAUGAGGUCAUGAAAAUACCAAGAACCAUGACGGAGAUUGUGGAGCACUCAGUAAAUGCAUUAGAGGAAUUCUAAAUGCUUCUUAGAGAUUGGAGGGAUAUUGAUGGCUUUUCAGAUGCUUGCUAUGUUGCUAAGGUUGCCCAACACCUUUAAGCUGCAUAAAUAACUAUCUUGAACCUCAUGAUAUAUCAUGAAGGUGGAGGCUCCAGAUUUCGAAGAAUAUGUGGAAGAACUUUCGGCAAGAACCACUAAAAAUAGUUGGCAUAGAUUUUGGGAUUGCUCAAGGGCUUAACUCAAAGAGGAUUUACAGGUAUGUAAUUCAAGGAUGAAAUUGAAGUAUAGAUUUAAUUUCAUCUUACCUUGCAAGUUUUCACAAUUUUUUCUAGUUAUUUGUCCCAUUAUUCACUUUGAUAAUGAUGAUUACUGUGAAGUUGGCAAAAUAUUUAGGAAUGUUUCCUGGUCAUUUUAUUUUUUUUCUUCCACUCUUCAAAAUUGGAGGUCUGAAUUUUUUCUAAAUGGUAAACAAAAAGAUUAAUCACUUACAUUUUAAGAAAUCUUAUUUCUUUAGGAUUUAGAACUGGAGAUGUUUUUGUAUUCUAUUAAUUUUUAAUUAGUAUUUGUUAUAAUAAUAUAGGUAAGAGAUUUUAUUAAAAUUUCUGUAGUUUAGGAUUUUACAUAGUGUUUAAGAGUGGUUUCAAGUCCUAAGACUUAGGGUUCUAUUUUUGUAUAAAUUCUAUCUAGUUUCUUUCACAAUGAAGAAGCUGUUUAGAUGAUUUCCUCAGCAGAUUGAUUCCAUGUGAUUGAGAGAGCCAAAAUUGAUUGUUGCUGCAACUGUCCUUACUUCUUAGGAAUUAUGUACUUUGUUUCAUAAUGAAGACAGCUAUUUAGGUAGCAGAUUAAUUCUGUGUGAUUGUGGGAACCAGUUGUGAUAAUGAGCUCCAACCAUUCAUUAGGUAUGAUACUUAAAGAACCUUAAAGUUGUAUUUGGUUUAAACCUACUCUAUUUCUAUCAAAUUUUUAGGUUAUUUAAUACACGUAGAAGGUAGUCAUAAUUUAUGCAUUCGAUGCAUGAUUAAAUCAACUUAAUUUAUAUUAGACAUGUAAGUGACCGAUAUGUUGAGGAAUACAAGAACAUCUAAUAUUAGACAUGUAAGUGACUUGGAAUUAUAAUACUAUUUUCAUUCAAUUUUAUAUCAUAUUUUUAUUAUAUUCCCAUUCCUAGUCCAUGGAGUUCUAAUUUGAAACAAACUCGAAAUAAGUGUAAUAUCUAUAGGCAGAUUAUCUAAAUUUCCAACCUCAAUUUGCACUGUCUAAUGAAUUAUCUAUCCCUUUGCUUUCAACCAGAGUGGAUAAGGCAAUAUGCAUAGUUU